GAUGAAGAACGUAGCAAAAUGCGAUACUUGGUGUGAAUUGCAGAAUCCCGUGAACCAUCGAGUUUUUGAACGCAAGUUGCGCCCGAAGCCUUUUGGCCGAGGGCACGUCUGCCUGGGCGUCACGCAUCGCGUCGCCCCCCCAUAAAUUCUCCGUCAGGGGAGCUUGUGUUUCGGGGGCGGAUACUGGUCUCCCGUGCUCAUGGCGCGGUUGGCCGAAAUAGGAGUCCCUUCGAUGGACGCACGAACUAGUGGUGGUCGUAAAAACCCUCGUCUUUUGUUUCGUGCCGUUAGUCGCGAGGGAAGCUCUUCAAAAACCCCAGCGCGUCGUCUCUUGACGGCGCUUCGACCGCGACCCCAGGUCAGGCGGGACUACCCGCUGAGUUUAAGCAUAUCAAUAAGCGGAGGA
rnacentral:misc_RNA from 1 species